rnacentral:rRNA from 1 species
UACGGAGGGUGCGAGCGUUGUCCGGAAUCACUGGGCGUAAAGGGCGCGUAGGCGGCUUCUCAAGCGUGUGGUGAAAGGUCCGGGGCUCAACCCCGGAUCGGCCGUGCGGACUGGGGAGCUCGAGUUCUGUAGAGGCGGGUGGAAUUCCGGGUGUAGCGGUGGAAUGCGUAGAGAUCCGGAAGAACACCGGUGGCGAAGGCGGCCCGACUGG